UCCCCCAUGCACAGUCUCCCCGUGCUUGUUUUGUGCAUAUCCCUGUCGCACUCUACCUUGGAUGUUGUACUUUUGGACACUAAAACACUGCGAAACCUGCAAGCUGACUGCUGUCUUUUGAAGUCCCGACCUCCACUAAGAAGAGCGUUCCUGACACGUGGUGUCUUGUGCCGAAGCAUGCGUUGAAGCUUCGAGGAUUUCUCCAACCAAUUGGCUCGAGUGGUUCGAUGUCUCAUGAGGCUUCAUGUGACCGUCAGGACUGCUAGGCAAAGGAGCGUUUGAUUUGCUGACCCUAACCCACCUACCCCACGGUAAAGCUUCGUGUCCAAAGAAACCAACGGACAAGCGAUGUGUGGUCUUUGAAACACUCCGGAAGUUGUCGACACUGCCUCCUCCCACCUCCCUUCCGCUGCAUGCCAAGAAGAUUAAAGACUGCAAGGAGGAAGGCUGACGUCAGGAGGUUAAAGCGGGGUCGCACAGGAAGACUCCAAGUGCUAUUCCUCUUCUCCUCUUCAGUCAGAGUAAGGUACUUGUCCAGACCCUGACAGCAUGUGCGGAGAGGAAUAUUCAUCACCUGUAGAGACACGGGUGUUCUCAAGGAAAUAAGAAUGGACUCCCUGGAGAGGCACAAUGGGGAGGGAUGGAUGACGGAACCUCGGGUCAAGAUAGAAGGAGGCGGGAUUGGCUUACAGCACUUAUUGCUGAUAGAUGCGUGUGCAUUUGUCAUUGCCUACAUGUGUCACACACAUGUCUGGCCCUCAGUCCACACUAAUGGGCCCGACUCGUUAUUGGACUCCUUGCUGGAUGAAAAGGACCGAGGCUGAAAGUUGCCGUGCAGUAAAAAGAUUCGACGAAUAAAAGUGUGUGCAUUAUUUUGACUAAUAAUCUCGAGUAAGGGUCAAGGGCACGGAAAUACAGGUGUCAAACUCUAGGCCUGGGGGCCAGAUCUGGCCACGUCACUCUACGAGGUCCGCGAAAGCCUAGAAUGAAUUUGUGUCUGUUCUUACUUAAUGUAUUCAACUUUCCAUUUUGGCAAAAAACAUGUACUUCAAGCAAUUUCAUACCUUUUAAACUUGAUCGAAC